CCUACGGGAGGCAGCAGUGGGGAAUUUUGGACAAUGGGCGAAAGCCUGAUCCAGCAAUGCCGCGUGAGUGAAGAAGGCCUUCGGGUUGUAAAGCUCUUUUGUCAGGGAAGAAACGGUGCGGGCUAAUAUCCUGCACUAAUGACGGUACCUGAAGAAUAAGCACCGGCUAACUACGUGCCAGCAGCCGCGGUAAUACGUAGGGUGCAAGCGUUAAUCGGAAUUACUGGGCGUAAAGCGUGCGCAGGCGGUUUUGUAAGUCUGUCGUGAAAUCCCCGGGCUCAACCUGGGAAUUGCGAUGGAGACUGCAAGGCUAGAAUCUGGCAGAGGGGGGUAGAAUUCCACGUGUAGCAGUGAAAUGCGUAGAGAUGUGGAGGAACACCGAGGGCGAAGGCAGCCCCCUGGGUCAAGAUUGACGCUCAUGCACGAAAGCGUGGGGAGCAAACAGGAUUAGAUACCCUGGUAGUCCACGCCCUAAACGAUGUCUACUAGUUGUCGGGUUUUAAUUAACUUGGUAACGCAGCUAACGCGUGAAGUAGACCGCCUGGGGAUACGGUCGCAAGNUUAAAACUUAAGAUAGUAGACGUGAGACGAGCGACGACGACGACGACGGAGGAGGAG
rnacentral:rRNA from 1 species